ACAUAAACAAAGCAGGGUGCUUUCCCUUCCCAAGGGCUGAGCUUUCUCUCUUCCUUCUUCUGGCAGAGGCUUUCUAACUAUUCACAGGCUCUCUCCUUCCACAUCUCUCCCUCUCUGUGACACAGAAGAGAACCAAUGAGGAUGGCACGGCAGAGCCUAGGGCAACCCUAAGUAUCCUUCUAGCUGUUACAUGUCCCAGGCUUGCCCUUUACAUCUGGGGCCACAUUGUAUACAGAUGACUACAUGCUGCACUGCAUUGAUUUACUCAAUGUACUGCUCUUUUAGAUGGCCUCCUGAAUUUCAAACAAGGGAAGAACAGCAAGAUGGAAGAAUUCUCCAGUUUCUGACUUAUCUCAUUGAGGACCCUGGCGGUGUUCGUCCAUUCUCAGGAUCACAUGGCAGCUACUGUCCUUACUACAUUUCCCAGAAUUCUCCUAGUCCCACCUAUCUUUCUGCCUCAUUGGGUGAGCAGUGCUUCAUUCAACAACUGAUAAGAUAAACAUACACAGAAGGACGUCCCCUAUCAGGAAUAUAGUGAAUGUGUACAGGUAGUGCUCUAAGUGGCUGCACCUGAGGGCAUACCCUGCCAGAACCCCAAGGACAGACCAGUACACUUGCCUGAAUAUUAACAACACCCUGAUUCAACUCUGCUCCAAUAUAUAGAUGAUCUACUGGCAGCAGCCAGCACCACUACAUGUUUAAAAGAACAAAGGACUUGCUCCAGCUGCUCCAGACAUUGGGAUAUCAUGUCUCCCUGAAAAAAAACUCAACUUUGCCAAACAGAGGUCUCCUAUCUUGGAUACAAACUUUCUCUAUGUAGAACAACUCUCAGUGGCUUCUCAGAAUCUACCUACAUUCUUAAUUGAAGGUAUAUGUUUCCUUAGACACAAAUUUUACAACCAUGUUUCUACCAAAGACAAGGAAAAUUUAUCUUGUUCUAGUCCCUUUUUCUUCUUUUAUUUUGCUUUUUUC
rnacentral:lncRNA from 1 species